rnacentral:misc_RNA from 1 species
AUUCCGUAGGUGAACCUGCGGAAGGAUCAUUAACAAAAAAAUAAAAUCCACCUUAGGAAAAACCCAGAGAAGAAAUUCAAAGGGUUUUUCCUUAAGCAAACAGUGAACUUUGUUAAAGUUUCUAACAAGAUAUACCAAUCUAAAUUUAUUUAGAAAGGUAUUUUCUUUUUAAAAACAAACUUGUUUAAUUUAUUUUGUCUUAUCCUUCUUAAACUAAUUGGUUUUAGGACCUUUUUGGAAAGAAUAUUUAAAUCAAAAGUAACAACUUUUAACAACGGAUAUCUUGGCUCUU